CGCUGCCCGGCCUCGCCGCCCGCAGCGGGGGAAGAUGGCGGCGGUCGUGCGGCUGGGGCAGCGCAGAGUCCGCGGCGGUGCCGUGGCCUACUUCUCUGGUACCGGGCGGUUUUUCAGCCGUGGGCCAAAUGUGCUACAUCAAGACAGCAGUGCACCACAAGCUGCCUUCUUUUCACCUCUGCAGAAAGUGAUGUUGCCGCCAAAUAGCUUUCAAGGGAAAGUGGCCUUUGUAACUGGUGGAGGUACUGGGAUUGGUAAAGCGAUGACAACAGCUUUGUCCAGUCUAGGUGCCAAGUGUGUUAUAGCAAGCCGGAAACUUGAUGUUUUGAAAGGAACGGCAGAAGAAAUUUCUUCUAAAACAGGGAAUAAGGUUCAUACCAUCCAGUGUGAUGUGAGAGAUCCAGUUUCAGUUAAGAAUGCUGUUGCUGAAGUACUCCAAGUGGCAGGACAUCCUGAUGUUGUGAUAAACAAUGCAGCUGGAAACUUUAUUUCCCCUUCUGAAAGGCUUUCUGCUAAUGCUUGGAAAACAAUAACUGAUAUUGUGCUUAACGGUACUGCUUUUGUAACUCUGGAAGUUGGAAAGGAGCUCAUCAAAGUACAAAAAGGAGCAGCAUUCCUGUCUAUUACAACAAUUUAUGCAGAGAGUGGUUCAGGAUUUGUGUUGCCAAGUGCCUCUGCCAAAGCUGGUGUAGAAGCAAUGAGCAAGUCUCUUGCUGCUGAAUGGGGUAGAUAUGGCAUGAGAUUCAAUGUGAUUCAACCAGGUCCAAUAAAAACAAAGGGUGCUUUUAGCCGCCUUGAUCCAACAGGCUCAUUUGAGAAGAAAAUGAUUGAGAGGAUUCCCUGUGGUCGCCUGGGAACUGUAGAAGAAAUUGCAAACCUUGCUGCCUAUCUGUGCAGUGACUAUGCAAGCUGGAUUAAUGGAGCAGUUAUUAGAAUGGACGGUGGAGAAUACGUUUCUAUGGCAGGAGAAUUCAAUGAUUUGAAGAAGGUUACCAAGGAUCAGUGGGAUGUGAUGGAAGCAAUGAUUAGAAAAACAAAAGGCUCUUAAAACAGAGCCAGAUGGUGGACAGUAGAAGGGUGGCUUCAGAACAGAUUUGUGACAGAGGCCAGAACUUAGAGCAUACUUUAAAAUGAAGGUCAAAAAGCUGCCUGGAUGAAAAGGAUAUGUACUAUCUUCACCAGUGAAUAAGCAGUGAUAAUUCUAGAUGAGAGCAUUACAUGGUCUGAGAUGUCUGUAUGCCUGUCAAUGCUCCGUGAAGUCCCUCAUUACUGUCAUCAGUUGAAAUGUCAUUAUCUUCACAAAAAUCUGGUCCACAUUUCAAGAUAGAAAGUGGAGUAGCUCAUAACAAAAUUUAUUUGUACAUAGAUGAUAUUCUUGAACUUGAAUGCAACGAUGUCAAUAGUUGUAUGACUAAUAUCUUCUAUAGUUAUUCCAGUCUGAACCCCUCCAUGCUGGAAGGCUUUCCUGGUAGCUUGUAUACAAAGAACACGUCUGAAAGGCUGUAAAUGGACAUUAUGGAGACAUGUUUUAUCUUGUGUGCUUUGAUGGAAAAUAGAACUGGAAAGGACAUUGAAAGGCUGCCCUUUCCUAAAUACAGGCAGCGAUGGAGAGUCUGCUUCCUGCUUAGACAAUGUAUUCUACUGCUGUUAGAAAGUUAUCCUCAUUUCCAGCUUAAACUUCUCUUGAAGCGGGCGUGCUCCUCACAUAACAAAUACUUAAAA